rnacentral:rRNA from 1 species
UACGUAGGGGGCUAGCGUUGUCCGGAAUCAUUGGGCGUAAAGCGCGUGUAGGCGGUCCGGUAAGUCCGCUGUGAAAGUCGGGGGCUCAACCCUCGAAUGCCGGUGGAUACUGUCGGGCUAGAGUGCGGAAGAGGCGAGUGGAAUUCCUGGUGUAGCGGUGAAAUGCGCAGAUAUCAGGAGGAACACCAAUUGCGAAGGCGGGUCUCUGGGCAGUAACUGACGCUGAGGAGCGAAAGCGUGGGGAGCGAACAGG